GAUGAACGCUAGCUACAGGCUUAACACAUGCAAGUCGAGGGGAAGCGGCAUUGAGUGCUUGCACUCUUUGGACGUCGACCGGCGCACGGGUGAGUAACGCGUAUCCAACCUUCCCAUUACUGUGGGAUAACCUGCCGAAAGGCAGACUAAUACCGCAUAGUCUUCGAUGACGGCAUCAGAUUUGAAGUAAAGAUUUAUCGGUAAUGGAUGGGGAUGCGUCUGAUUAGCUUGUUGGCGGGGUAACGGCCCACCAAGGCUACGAUCAGUAGGGGUUCUGAGAGGAAGGUCCCCCACAUUGGAACUGAGACACGGUCCAAACUCCUACGGGAGGCAGCAGUGAGGAAUAUUGGUCAAUGGACGGAAGUCUGAACCAGCCAAGUAGCGUGCAGGAUGACGGCCCUAUGGGUUGUAAACUGCUUUUGUAUGGGGAUAAAGUUAGGGACGUGUCCCUAUUUGCAGGUACCAGACGAAUAAGGACCGGCUAAUUCCGUG
rnacentral:rRNA from 1 species